rnacentral:lncRNA from 1 species
AAUGGAUUUAUCGAAACAAAGAAAGCUAUCUUUUGGCAAUUGUGCUGGUAUAAAUUUGGCUGGCAACAAAAGCAUUCUCUUCAAUCAUUGUCUCGAGGCUUUUUCAUAAUCACAGUGCAUAAGCGGAUGCAUACAUUUCCACAUACGUAUCACGAAUAAAUUACAAGUAUUGGCAUUUGUGAUCUCUCUCAUGUAAAGUUGCCAUGGCAAACCCUCCGCCCAUCCAUCUUCUUGACGUAAAGUUGCCAUGGCAAACCCUCCGCCCAUCCAUCUUCUUCUUCCUUCCUCCCAAUCCAUCUUCUUUGCCUCAUCCCCUUCUCUCUACCUCUUUCUGAACAAAAACAAAAAUGGUGAUACACCGUUGAUUUGGACGGUAGCGACAGGGACUUUCGCAUAUGAGAGGUGUGAUUCUUAACGAAUAUGAUUUGUAGGGGUAUAUUUUCAUUCAUCAUUGAAUUUAAUUUCCGAUGUUUCUGUUAAAAAAAAAUCGCCAUGAAGCACAAUCAAAUUUUUUUAAAAACAGGGUAUGCCGUGCGGCUAUACUGACUCUUUUAAAAUUUAAAAGAAGCGUAUAGCCAAGCGGAUGUACUAUUUCUUUUAAUAAAAAACAGAGUAUAGCCGGACGGCUAUACUAUUUCUUUAAAACAAAUUAAAAAAAUCAGCGUAGCGCCGGCUGGCUAUACUAUUUCUUUAUAAUUUAAAAAAAAAAAUAAAGCGCACAGUAUAGCCGCACGGCUAUUCUAUUUAAUAAAAAAAUAAUAAUAAGAAAGAAGGACCUCUAAGUUGCAUUAGUUUAUA